rnacentral:rRNA from 1 species
UACGAAGGGGGCUAGCGUUGCUCGGAAUCACUGGGCGUAAAGGGUGCGUAGGCGGGUCUUUAAGUCAGGGUGAAAUCCUGGAGCUCAACUCCAGAACUGCCUUUGAUACUGAAGAUCUUGAGUUCGGGAGAGGUGAGUGGAACUGCGAGUGUAGAGGUGAAAUUCGUAGAUAUUCGGAAGAACACCAGUGGCGAAGGCGGGCCAUCUGGCUCGGUACUGACGCUCAGGCGCGAAAGCGUGGGGAGCAAACAGG